rnacentral:rRNA from 1 species
GACGAACGCUGGCGGCGUGCCUAAUACAUGCAAGUCGAACGGAGCGGCGGACGGGUGAGUAAUGCCUAGGAAUCUGCCUGGUAGUGGGGGAUAACGUCCGGAAACGGGCGCUAAUACCGCAUACUAUCAGAUGAGCCUAGGUCGGAUUAGCUAGUUGGUGGGGUAAAGGCCUACCAAGGCGACGAUCCGUAACUGGUCUGAGAGGAUGAUCAGUCACACGGGAACUGAGACACGGUCCAUACUCCUACGGGGGGCAGCAUUGGGAAAUAUUGAACAAUGGGCGAAAGCCUGAUCCAGCCAGGCCGCGUGGGUGAAGAAGUUCUUCGGAUUGUAAAUCACUUUAUAUUGGGAGACGUUACCACCAGAAUAAGCACCGGCUAACUUCGUGCCAGCAGCCGCGGUAUUU